rnacentral:rRNA from 1 species
GACGAACGCUGGCGGCGUGCUUAACACAUGCAAGUCGAACGGAAAGGCCCUGCUUUUGUGGGUUGCUCGAGUGGCGAACGGGUGAGUAACACGUGAGUAACCUGCCCUUGACUUUGGGAUAACUUCAGGAAACUGGGGCUAAUACCGGAUAGGAGCUCCUGCUGCAUGGUGGGGGUUGGAAAGUUUCGGCGGUUGGGGAUGGACUCGCGGCUUAUCAGCUUGUUGGUGGGGUAGUGGCUUACCAAGGCUUUGACGGGUAGCCGGCCUGAGAGGGUGACCGGCCACAUUGGGACUGAGAUACGGCCCAGACUCCUACGGGAGGCAGCAGUGGGGAAUAUUGCACAAUGGGCGGAAGCCCGAUGCAGCAACGCCGCGUGCGGGAUGACGGCCUUCGGGCUGUAAACCGCUUUCGCCUGUGACGAAGCGUGAGUGACGGUAAUGGGUAAAGAAGCACCGGCUAACUACGUG